rnacentral:rRNA from 1 species
GACGUAGGGGGCGAGCGUUGUCCGGAUUUAUUGGGCGUAAAGCGCGCGUAGGCGGUCCGUUAAGUGCACAAGUGAAAGCUCCUGGCUCAACCAGGAAAUUGCUUUGCAUACUGGCGGGCUGGAGGGACGCAGAGGUCUGUGGAAUUCCUGGUGUAACGGUGAAAUGUGUUGAUAUCAGGAGGAACACCCAUGGCGAAGGCAGCAGACUGGGCGUUUCCUGACGCUGAGGCGCGAAAGCGUGGGUAGCAAACAGG